rnacentral:rRNA from 1 species
UCCUACGGGAGGCAGCAGUGGGGAAUAUUGGACAAUGGGGGCAACUCUGAUGCAGCGACGCCGCGUGAGCGAUGAAGGCCUUCGGGUCGUAAAGCUCUGUCCUAUGGGACGAUAAUGGCGGUACCAUAGGAGGAAGCCCCGGCUAACUUCGUGCCAGCAGCCGCGGUAA